GCCUGGGUAGCUCAGCUGGUUAAGCAUCUGACUUCAGCUUAGGUUGUGAUCACGCAGUUUGUGGGUUCGAGCCCCGCAUCGGGCU
rnacentral:tRNA from 1 species